GGCCGCCUCGCCCCUCCUGGUCAGGGUGGGGGCGUACCAAGAGGACAUCCAAUGCAGGGCCCAAGGGGAAAAAUAGCACCGCGGAAGGUAACAGGAGAACCAUCGACCCAGUCUCCCAGAGGAAGAUGUGUCCCUCCUCCAGCCCAAAGCCAACCCCUCCACUGUGCUCCAGAUCCCCUCUCAUCUCUCAUUGCUUCCUCAGUCAUCCUUCUCGGGCUUUCCUGAUGGUGCAGUGGUUAAGAAUUUGCCUGCCAAUGCAGGGGACACAGGUUUGAGCCCUAGUCCGGGGAGAUCCCACAUGUCGCGGAGCAACUAAGUCCGUGCACCACAACUAUUGAGCCUGCAGGCUGCAACUACUGAAGCCAUGCGCAACAAGAGAAGAGCCCAUGCUCCGCAACAAGAGAAGCCACCGCAAUGAGAAACCUGCGCACUGCAACGAAGAGUAGCCCCUGCUCGCUGCAACUAGAGAAAACCUGCACUCAGCAAUGAAGACCUAACACAGCCAAGAAAAUAAAAGAAAUAAAAAGAAAUAAAAUUUUUUUAAAUGUUAAAAAAAACAACUAUAUUCCUAUUAAAAAAAUCAUCCUUCUCUCCUUUUCCACCCAUAUUCAUUUAGCAAAUAUUUACAGAGCAACUCUUUGUGUCUGGAUGCUGGGCUUACAAUGGCGAAUGAGUUAGAUAAUGCUCCAGACCUCAUAAAGCUUCUACUGUAGUAAGAAAGAUAGACAAGUAAAUCUGAAAUGGAUAUAAAGGAAAUGAAUAUGAAGAUACAGGGAAUAAGAGACAGGUCACUUUAAAUAAGAAGAUCAGAGAAGGUUUUUUUGUGUGUGUGGACGUGACAUUUGAGCCGAUGCCUGAAGGAUGUGAAUGAGUUUUCUGUGUGAAGGUCUGGGGGAUGAGGAUUCCAGGUAGAAGGAACAGCAAUGUGAGGACCCAGAGAGAAAAAACAAGCCAAAGUUGUCUCAGUGGCCUAUAAGGCCCUCCAAGCUCCAGCCCCCUAUCAUCUCUCUGACCCCAUUUCCUACUGUCCUCUCCCUCCCUCAGUCCACUGGCCUCCUUGCUGCUUUUCAAUUAUGUCAGGUCUACUCUCAUCCUAGAGCCUUUGUGCUGCUGGCUGUUCUCACUGCCUGCAGUUUUCCUUAGGUAUCUGCUUGGCUAACUUGCUGACUUUCUUCAAGCCUUUUCUCAAAGGUCACCUUCUCGACAAGGCCUACCCGACUACUUUACUUAAAAUUGCUAUUCACGUCCCCCUCCACCACAGACACUCCUCAUCCCCUUACCCUACUUUGCUUUUAAUUUUUCUAUAGUGCCCAUCACCUUGUAACAUACUACAUAAUUUAUUUAUUCAUUAAGUCUACUGUUUACUGGCUGCCCCCUCACUAGAACAUUAACUUCAUGAGGGCAGGAGUCUUUGGCCACUAAUGUAUGCUAAGGACUCAGACAGUGCUUGGCACACAGAAGGCACUACACACAAAUUUGUUAAAUAAAUGAAUUCUUCAAAGCUUAUUUCAGAUAUCAGGUCCUUCACAAAGUUUUUCCCGGCUGUGAACAAUCCCCACUU